ACAGGUAGGGCUUCCCCGAGCGGGGGCUGUCCGGUCGUACGCAGCGCCUGCGCACCCGACGCAUUUGUCUCUCGUCCGAAGGACGCCGCAGCCGGCUGGGUAGUGCAAGCGCGACGACCUGAGGGGCGGAAGAUGGCAGGUGGCCGCUGGCGUGCCUCGUGCGCGUCGGCGGUUGUUAGCCGUUCCGUCAGUGGUCCGUCACCCGGCCGAGGUGUCGCGAGGCCCUUCGGGGCCUCAUCGUCUCCUCCUCGUGUCGCGGGUCAGAGCGUAGCAGGUGGAAUCCGUCGUCCCGUUCGCACCCCUCCGGGGUGGUCGGGCGAACGGAGGCCUCCGUUGGUUGCGCCGGACCCGUUGGAGGCUGGAGGCUUGCGGCGAGUAGGUCGGUCACCCACCCGACCCGUCUUGAAACACGGACCAAA
rnacentral:rRNA from 1 species